GAAAACGUUAGGAACAAACCUAGGUUUUCUUCUCUACAAAACAAAUUAUCAUAACCUAAAUCACAUAACAUCUUUCAAUCGGUGAGGUAAUGAUCAUCCUUACAGAAAUCCGGUAAUCUUUCAAUCUUAAACCUAUAUUGAUAUUCGUUCAUCCUAAACCUUCCCCUCUAUGUUUCUUCUGCAACAAACCAUGGAUCUUCAUCAUCAAACAAACCUUAACCCAAUGUUACACAGUCUAAAAUCCGAGACCUACACCAUGUUAUAAUCGAGUUUUGCGUAUAUACAUAAUCCGACGGAAAAAUCCAUGAAAACAUGGUCUAAUCUCUUACGACCAAGUGACAGAAGAUGAUGCAAAAUUUUCAAUGCCGAGCCUCAUUCAUCGCAAUGUCUCAUACUAAUGGUUUGUUUACAAGGGGUAGAAGCAUUCAAAAUAGCAGACAUAUGAUAACAAGGGGUUAAAACUUGGAUAACACUAUGUUUACAACAAAAUCUUGACGGAGGUAAAAAGAAAAAAACCCUAAUUUUGUUUUUCUGGGUUCUUUAUGUUUUUCGUUUAUUCUGUUGAUGCAGGUUGUAAUACUAAAUUUAUAUAAUCGCAAUUGAAUAGGAAAGAGAUUGAGAGGAUAGAAGAAGAAGGUUUUGUAUAAAAACUGAAUGAACUUAACAUCAAAGUUCAACAAAAUUGGUUAAUUAGAAUGGUUAUUACCAUUUUUGUACAAAGCUUACACUAUCAGGAGAUUAAGGAUUUGAUUGAUGCACGGGAAAUGUGGAUUCUAUGGUGGUGGCAUCCAAAGGUUGAGAAUAAGAUUUUAGAGAGAUGGAGAGAGUUGCUAUAGAGUGGAAAGAUGAAUGCAAUAAAGCAUGACUGAAGCAGUGGGGUGAAACGUUGGGUUCUUUCAGAUUUUGGUACGGGAAUACAAUACUGGGACUACAGGUUCAGUUUUUUUUUUAAAUAAAACUUCAAUGGGUUCAGUUCUUGGUGCUCGAGGUUUGAUAUCCAAUUUCUGUUCAUACUCUGUGUAUACUUUUUUUAACAACUUCCUUGGUUGAUUCAUGGAGUUCAAGUUGAGUUUGUGGACGGUGAAGAUACUAAACAUUUUUGUUCAAGUUAUUGGGUUCAGAUUAAUUUGGUUCAAUUUAUCCGUUCACUUCGUUCGCAGGGGAAAACAAACAUCGGAAUACCCAACAAGCCAUUGUCUACAUGUAUGUUUCGUACUUCAUAGAAUAUCCAGCAAGAUGACUGCAAAGAAACUCAUCAGCUAUGAUUAUGAUCCAACCAAGCCCUUAGAGAAUCUUAAAGAAUUUUUUGCUGCAUUCACUAAAGGGUUGAUUUCUUUCCCACUCGACAUACUAAAGGGUUGAUUUCUUUCACAAAUGCUUACUAGUAAAUGGUAAACUUGAAUUUGUUAGGCGCCUAAUAUGACCAUAUCCACGUAAGUGUUGAGUUUGCUGGUCUUGGGUUUUGUCAGGGUUGUAUGCAAGCAACGAAGAUUUGGAAAGAUAAGCCACAAGAGAGACAAAAAAACAUUUAACAGUUGUUAAGAAGAUUUGUUCACUCAUCUUGAACAAAAGACGGAAGGAACAACACUAACCGUAGCAAUUGUUUAAUCUUAAUGUUUUUGGUUCUCUUUGGCAGCUUCGAGACGACUUUAAUGUCAACAACGUUUUCCAGAGCAGCACCCAUAUUUUUACAGUAUUUACAAUUCAAUUCACAUGAUUCUAACUUGGUCCAUGUUGAAUUAUCAAAAAGCACACGAGAAAGAUUAUUAAGAAGAAGAUGAGUAAAUUUGUUUAAUACUCCACUAGAUUAGUUUAUAAAAUGUCCAUAAAGAUUAGAACUCGAACAUAAAGUCGACGAUAUUGAGGUUCUCCAGGACUCGAGCUUAAAGUUGACGAUGUUAAUCACCAGAAGUGUUAGGGAGGGAACGUACUCUUGGGAAAUGAUGAUUGCAUGAUCCUGGGAAAUGAUGAUUGAGUCAUGCAAACGUUCUUCUUAUUUUUGGGUUAAUGUAAUUUUCAUUUUCAAGCGCUUUAUUCCUUUUUCUUACCAAGAUUGGGUUAUGUAAUUUGGAACCUUGAUAUUGCUUCGGAGUCUUAAACAGAGUAGUCUUUGUUGUAUCAUUUUAAGUGUUUUUCUUUAAAAAAGAGA